GGAGGAUGGGUAUGAGCAAGACUGAGAGAGGUUCAUCAGUGCUGGAUUUUCUAACAGCAGUGAACUAAACCCAUGCUUAGGACAUUGGCAAAGGAGGAAUGGCUAAUAAGUAAUUUGAUUUUAUUUUCAAAUUACAUAUGUGGGAGGGAAAUCAUGAUGCUUUCAGUGCUGUGGACAUAUAAAGACCCUGGUCCUGAUCCAGGAGGCACUUGGGUACCGAGUGUCAACAAGAGCCCCUAAGAGAAGAUAGGGUGAAGCCCCCAUGGCCCUGCCACCUGAUGUGUCACAGCAGAGAGGCAUUGAGUAUGGGAAACACCAUGCUUAGGAACAUGGGGCAAAAAGAAGUGGAGGGACAGCUCAAUAGAAGGGACUAUAUACAAAUCACAUAGCCAGACAGGGCUAGCAGGUACAGCAGGUUCUAGAAACCCUGAGAAUCAAGAGCAACAGGGCAUAAGUGCCUCAGGAGCCUAGGUCUUAAAAGGCUGCAGCUCCAGAAACAACACAGACAGAAAAAUUGAUCCAAAACAUGGAGGGGAACAUCAGGAAGAUAUUCUGGACACAGGACUGGCAAGAAACAGGAAUGGUGAUGGCAAGCUUGGCUGGGAUUGAGGGUGGUAUUUGCCCUAUCCCUCCAUGAAGCCCUGAGUAGGUAGAGAAACUCUUGUUAUCCAUAUCUCAGAGCCUCCAGUCAGAGAAACCAGGGCACUGUUCUGACGCAUGGGCGUCUUUCGUCAUUGAACUUGAGGGGAAGAGGGAGUGGCAGUUGCACAGAAGGGCCUGGAUUGGGAAAGGUCAGAAAAUGAACACAUGCCAGGUUAAAAGCCAGUGACGGAGACUGGAAGAGCAGAAGACAGAGCCAGAGGACCUAGUGCUACAUUGAUGCUGGGAUGGACAGGGAAACAAGGUCAAAGGUGGGGGCAGAGUAAGGGGGUUUUAAAUGCUUUUUAAUGACACAGCUAUCAGACUAGUUAAAAAGCCCAGAUCCGUAUGAAUUCCAAGCAAAAAUAUACCCUGCGCAAGUGCAGACCACCUAGACUUGGCCUUCUGCCUGAUAAAAUUGUUGGAAUUCUCCAAGGAAUAGCAAAGUCAGAUUGUGAUGAGGGGGCAGAGGUGAGAGCAGAUAAUAGAUGAGAAAGAAAAGUGUUAUUGUCUUAACAGGUAGCACAGAAAAGACAUUCUUUCCCCCUAUAAAGAAUCUUUGUUUAUUAAAAUUCUUUAAAGCAGCUUGAAAUGAAAUCAUCACUUUGAGAUAUGCAUUGGCAUGAGCUAAGGUCACCAAAAGAGAUAAAUAAUGUAUAAUACAUCCAAAAUUAAUAGUGGUUUGGGGGUACUGGAAAGACAGAAGUUUGGGGAGAAGAAGGAGAAAUGAAGAACAAUUAGUGAAAUGGCAUGAGACUAGGCCACUGUACAACAUGAAGAGAAAAGUGAAAGCUCCUCACUGCCAAGGUUGCCGAAAGAUGUUUAGGAACAAUGAAGCUUUGUAUCAGUAAGAUAUUGCUGCAUAACUAAUGACCUCAAAACUCAAAACAACAAUAAGCAAGUAUUUCUUGUUCACGCGUCUGUGGGUCAGCUGAAAGUUGGCUGGCCUAGGCUGCGUAUGGCUCCAGGCCAUGUGUCUGUUCCAGGUCUAUGACACAAGGCUGUCAUCCUUCUGGGAUGAAUGGGCUACAUAGUGCACACUUUUCUCUUGGAAAUAACAGAAUUACAAUAAUAGGAGCCCUCCUUGAAAGCACAUUUUAAACCUCUGCCUAUGUUCCCUCUAAUAAUAAUCUUUGGUCAAAGCAACUCACAUGACCAAGCCCACCAUCAAUGGAGUGAGCAAGUAAACUCCUCUGAUGGAGGAGGGCUGGUAGUAAGAGUGGAUAUUUGCUAAACAACGAUCUGAUCUACCACAAGCCUUAUGCUAAAUUUAAAAUUAUUUGCAUUGCUGCAAUGUAAAUUCCUUCUCUGACCACUCUCUCAAUCUUUAGUAAAUGUACCACAAAUACAAAUUUUUUGAGCUGCUUUUCUAGAGAAAUCAAGGCAGAGGAUUGACAUGAUGCAGAACAGAGACAGUAGAUGAAAGUAAGUGAUCCACAAGACAGAAGGCAAAAUCAGAGGUGGCCAUGAGUACCUAAGCCUCCAAAAAUCAUAGGCAUAUUGGGAAAAUCAGAGAAAUAAGGGCCAGAACCAAUCUUGUUUAGACCUCAAGGAGAGCUCAUCUGCCAGCUAUGUUACUUAAGACUAUUGGUAAUGGCCAUUGGUAAGUGAGGCUAGACUGCCUUUCCAUUGUCUGACAGGAAGCUAUGGCGGAGCAGGACAGGCCAUAGAAGCCUCAGGGCUCAUUCUGAACAGCAGGGAGGAGGAGGUCAUCAACCAAGUCCAGUUAGGAAAUUUGGUCCAGAGGGAUCCAGAGGCUUGUAUCUGAGUAUAAGGCAUCCAUGUCCUCCAGGAUAUAAAGGAAGAAGUUGAGGGAUGGAUGCAGAGUAUACUAUUCUCCACCAUUACAAAUUGGGCACCUUUGCUUUUGAAUGAGUGACCACAGCCCUGGAAACUUGUAUGCUUUGCUAAUUGAGGGCAGAUGAGCCUCAGGUCAAUCCCCCAUCAAUUAUCCACUCAACAACAAUAAAAUGCUAACUUGUAUGCCCUA
rnacentral:lncRNA from 1 species